GUGAGGAAUAUUGCGCAAUGGAGGCAACUCUGACGCAGCCAUGCCGCGUGCAGGAAGAAGGCGCUACGCGUUGUAAACUGCUUUUAACCGGGAAGAAACCCCAGGACGUGUCCUGGGUUGACGGUACCGGAGGAAUAAGCACCGGCUAACUUCGUGCCAGCAGCCGCGGUAAUACGAAGGGUGCAAGCGUUAUCCGGAUCCAUUGGGUUUAAAGGGUGCGUAGGCGGAGCGUUAAGUCAGUGGUGAAAUCCUGCAGCUUAACUGUAGACUUGCCAUUGAUACUGGCGCUCUUGAGUGCGCUUGAAGUGGGCGGAAUGUGCCGUGUAGCGGUGAAAUGCUUAGAUAUGGCACAGAACACCAAUUGCGAAGGCAGCUCACUAAGGCGAUACUGACGCUGAGGCACGAAAGCGUGGGGAUCGAACAGGAUUAGAAACCCCAGUAGUCC
rnacentral:rRNA from 1 species